UCCAUCACAACCUCCUUCCUCCUUUCCCUGGGACCGAAAAAACAGCCUGAUUAAGAAAACCCCCUUUGAGAGAAAGAGAGAGGGAGGGAGCAAGAGAGAGGGAGGGAGGGGGAAGGGAGGAAGGAGGGUGAGAGAGGGAGGGAAGCAGAGAGAGCCCCUUUGGAUUUUUAAAAUAAAGGUCUAAUUAUCAUUCCCUUGCAGUAGUAUCACAGAGAGAAAGGAACCAAGACCCACAGUCACUUUAAACGGGCUGAUUAUUUUGUUUGGGUAUUAACUCCUCCGGAUUUGUUUGAGAUCCUGUUGGAAAAUCUCAUUUGCAUGCUUUGAUAACAGCUGAGGGCAAACUUGUUGGGGGGGGGGAGAAUGCACAUCUAUAACAAUCAAACCUUCUUCUGCUGCCCCGCCCCCGGCAACUUUUCCUGCAGAUUUGUUUUGGCGAAGAGCACAGGGAGAGACUGAGACAGAAAAGCAAAAGAGCAAGCCCAUUAAAGCUCGUUUGGCUCUGUAGAGACAGCCUAUUAAAUAAUGUAAUAAAAUAACAAGAGCGAUAAUAACUGGAGGCGCUCUACGUUCUAAAGGCAGCUUGGAGAGAUCCAGAAGUCUUCAGCUUCGAAUGGAUUCGAGACUUUCGCUGCCACCAGAAAUCUCCAGGCUUCGGACCGCAGAAAACUUACAUACUUAUUAAACAGAAGGAAAACCCGUCCUGGUCGUUCCCCUACCCUUCCAACGGGUGAAAUUUCUUAGGUGUGGCCGAGGUCGCUUUCCCAGGAGACGAAGGUUAGCACAGAGGCUGUCCAAAUUCGGAGCAGACAGGAGCACCCUGGCUGAGAGAGCUGGGGGAGCUGGGGGGUAGGCUCUGUGCUAAUCUGUGUCCAGCCGGGUGCGGUCCUGGAAGACAGAGUCCGAGGACGCCGGGGUCCAAGUCUAUGGACCAGGCUUGACAGAGGACAGAGAAGUGCUGGCGGUGUUUUCAUGACCUGUUGGAAUCUGGUAACAGCUUUAAUAGUCUCAUUAGGAAUGAGUUACUAUAUGGCCAAUUUAAAAACAAAACCAAGCAGAUUCCCCAGGCCAGUCAUCAGGCCAUGAUUAAAAUCUGUUCCUCACUGAUGAUCAGUCCCAUGAUUUGAAACACCAGUU
rnacentral:lncRNA from 1 species